rnacentral:rRNA from 1 species
AAGGCUAAAUACUCCUGACUGACCGAUAGUGAACCAGUACCGUGAGGGAAAGGCGAAAAGAACCCCGGCGAGGGGAGUGAAAAAGAACCUGAAACCGUGUACGUACAAGCAGUGGGAGCCCCACCACCAAAGCAUUCUCUGGUGUUGAAGGCCCUGCAAAGCAGCAUCGCGGUGGCGGAGCGUCGUUUGCGACGCCCAACACAAAAAACAAGCGGUGAGUGCUUUGGGGUGGGGUGACUGCGUACCUUUUGUAUAAUGGGUCAGCGACUUAUAUUCUGUAGCAAGGUUAACCGAAUAGGGGAGCCGUAGGGAAACCGAGUCUUAACUGGGCGUUAAGUUGCAGGGUAUAGACCCGAAACC